GUGUGCAGUGCCCCACUCCAAAAAGUGGCAAUCAUGUAUACUUACAUAUGAUUGACACUUCUUUGAGUGAAGCAAUGCCCAU
rfam:Erinaceus europaeus unplaced genomic scaffold scaffold00629, whole genome shotgun sequence